AAAGUUCCCUUCGGGGAGCGAGUAGAGUGGCGCACGGGUGAGUAACACGUAGGUAAUCUACCUUUGGAUUGGGAAUAACAACCGGAAACGGUUGCUAAUACCGAAUAAUGCAGCGGCACCUAAUGGUGACAGUUGUUAAAGCGGGGGAUCGCAAGACCUCGCGUCUAAAGAGGAGCCUGCGGCGGAUUAGCUAGUUGGUAAGGUAACGGCUUACCAAGGCGAUGAUCCGUAGCCGGCCUGAGAGGGCGGUCAGCCACACUGACACUGACAUACGGGUCAGACUCCUACGGGAGGCAGCAGUCGGGAAUUUUGGGCAAUGGGCGAAAGCCUGACCCAGCAACGCCGCGUGAAGGAUGAAAUCCUUCGGGAUGUAAACUUCGCAAGAACAGGAAGAAUAAGUAUGAGUUAAUAUCUCUUACGAUGACGGUACUGUUUGUAAGCUCCGGCUAACUCCGUGCCAGCAGCCGCGGUAAUACGGGGGGAGCAAGCGUUGUUCGGAUUUACUGGGCGUAAAGGGCGGGUAGGCGGCCACCGCAAGUCAGUUGUGAAAUCUCCGGGCUUAACCCGGAAAGGUCAACUGAUACUGCGGGGCUAGAGUGCAGAAGGGGCAACUGGAAUUCUCGGUGUAGCGGUGAAAUGCGUAGAUAUCGAGAGGAACACCUGCGGCGAAGGCGGGUUGCUGGGCUGACACUGACGCUGAACUGCGAAAGCUAGGGGAGCGAACGGGAUUAGAUACCCCGGUAGUCCUAGCCUUAAACGAUGAAUGCUUGGUGUCUGGGGUUUUAUAGUCCCCGGGUGCCGUCGCUAACGCUUUAAGCAUUCCGCCUGGGGAGUACGGUCGCAAGGCUG
rnacentral:rRNA from 1 species